AAUGUUUUUAUGAAAGAAAAUUCUUUAUGCAAGAAAAUCAUAACAUACCUCUUGGGUUUAUUCGCCUGUCUGAAGAGCAUAGAGGGGUAUGUUGGGGCGGUUACAGCAUGGCAAGACCAUUUUUUCCUGAAAGAGACAUCGGGUCAGAUCCAGCCCUCGGCGGAGGGGUCCGUGCUUGCAUGGAGGGGGUGCCGGAGGGAGAUGGUGUUGCCCGCUGCGACAAAAUUGAAGAAGCACAAAAACAACUUAAUGGAACAGAAGACCAACAGAGAGAAAUCACAGAUGCUGGUACUAGAGGAAACCCAGAUACAAUUAAGGGUGUGAAAAGAAAAAAGAUUGUGACUGAAAACCAUCUAAAAAAAAUACCAAAAUCACCUUUGAGAAACCCCGCAGAAUCCAAGGUUAAACAAAAUGCAGACCUUCCACCACUAAAAGUUCUUCUGGAUGCUUCAGAACAUGCCACAGCACAGGACCAACUACCUGUGCAAAAUGGAAGUCAAUGUACCGAACAAAAUGGGGGAGUGCUUAGUAGUGAGAUAAGUGCUGAAACAACCAAAUCUGAGAUACCAAUGCAGACAAAACCUUCACUGACACAUCAGUCCUUAGACUUGAGUAAGCAGGCAGUAGAGGAUUCUGAUGUGAGUCAGUUGAGCUCACCGGAGAAGAAGUCUCUCUCCAAUUCCUUACCAAGAAAAACAAAGACUGACAGUAAUGAAUGUAUUACUUUUGUUGAUGGUAGUACAUCAUCCCCAUGUACGCGUACUGCAUUUGAUGUCUUGUUAAAAGCUAUGGAGCCUGAACUGAACACUUUAGCACAAGAGUGCCCCCAUUAUGGGGUGCAGAUAGAGAAACUGAGACCAAAUAAAAUUGUAAGCACCUCUCCUAGUCUCAUAUCCAAUACAACGAGCGUCCAAAAUCAGUCUGCUUUGUCUCAGCAUGAGUUUACAGCUGGACCUCGCUAUUUCCCAUGUACAUUGAACACUAUGCAUGUAGCAACAGCCGCCAAGAGUGGACAAACACAGGUCCAGUCGGUUUCUCAUUCACAAGACCUUGUUACUAAAACCAGCCAACAAAAUCACCAGGUUGUUAUGUGUCCAAAUUUCACAGGUUCUAUGGUGCAACAGCAGAGUCAAGAAAAUGCCAAGCUCCAGCAGAUAUACAGCAUAGCAGUAACUUCCUCUGGUGUUCACACCUCAUCUUCCACUGUAACUCAGGUUUUUGCUCAAAAUCAGUUAGUAGCUAGUUCAUCUUCACCUUUGUCAGUUAACACACCUAGUUCAACACACUUGUCUAUAGGUCCCAUGUAUAAUUCAGCCCAGAUAGCAUCAGUUGUAAACCAUGGCAUAGAACAAAUAUGUAACCUCUUGAAAGACCAGAAACCUAAAAAGCUGGGGAAGUACGUCUGUGAGUAUUGCAAUCGGGCCUGUGCCAAGCCCAGUGUUCUCCAAAAGCAUAUCCGAUCCCAUACUGGAGAGCGACCGUAUCCUUGCGUUACGUGUGGGUUUUCAUUUAAAACUAAAAGUAACUUGUACAAGCACAAAAAAUCCCAUGCACAUGCUAUCAAACUUGGCCUUGUCCUACAGCCAGAUGCUGGUGGUCUCUUCUUAUCUCAUGACUCAGACAAAGCUCUUAGCAUUCAUUCAGAUGUGGAAGAAAGUGGUGAAAGUGAAGAUGAAGGCACUGCUGAUGAAAGACAAGAUGAUCAAGAACUGGAACCUGCACAAAUAGCGAAAGUCAUUUCAAGUGCAGAAACAGUAUGGAAGGGAAGCCCUGUGCCACUAAGUAACCCAGAUUGUAUCCCAGGUGAUUCUUCAUUACACAAUACAGAACCACAAGUAAUGGCAGCUUUACCAAAAGUAGUGGUUCACACUGUAAAUGUUUCUCCGUUAAGGGCUGAUAGCCCCAAAGUAACAGAUCCAGAACCUGAGCUUGCUGCAGCACAGCGAAAAGGAGAUUUUAAAGUGACAAAUCUUCAGUCAAAUUUAACACAUACAGCCUCAUUAAAGGAAAAUGACAUAAAACAAAAUCAGAAAACAGAACUGGGCCUAUUAGAGGAGCAGCUGGGAUCUGCAGUAGGAGCUGUGCACGCUCAGCUUCAGAGACAACAGGCAACCGAUUGUUCCCAGGAGCAACAAGGAAAAUGCCUUCUGAGCCCUAGAAGUUUAGGUAGUACUGAUUCUGGUUAUUUCUCUCGUUCUGAAAGUGCUGAUCAAACAAUGAGCCCACCAGCUCCUUUCAUAAGAGGAUUACUGCCCUCUGAAAAAGAUACAAAUAAAAAUUUGCCCUGUGUACCAAGAGCAAGUGGAAUGGUAGCAUCAGUGGUACAAACAGUUUGUACUGAGAAAAAAUUGAUUCUCUCUGGCCAAAUGCGACCUCCCAUGGCAACAAAAACCCUUGAGGAGCGUAUCUCAAAAUUAAUUUCUGAUAAUGAAGCUGUUGUGGAUGACAAACAGUUAGAUAGCGUGAAACCAAGAAGAACAUCUCUUUCGAGAAGAGGAAGCAUAGAUUCACCAAAAUCCUACAUAUUUAAAGAUUCUUUCCAGUUUGAUUUAAAGCCUAUGGGAAGAAGAACUAGUUCAAGCUCUGAUAUACCAAAGUCUCCUUUCACGCCCACUGAGAAAUCAAAACAAGUUUUUCUUCUCUCUGUACCAUCCCUUGACUGUUUGCCUAUAACACGAAGUAAUUCCAUGCCUACUACCAGUUAUUCAGCAGUACCUCCAAAUGUAAUACCUCCCUCUCAUCCACUUAGAGGAAGUCAGUCAUUUGAUGAUAAAAUCGGCUCCUUAUAUGAUGAUGUUUUUGUAUCAGGACCUGCUGCUCCACUGAACCAAGGUGGACAUCCUCGGACCCUUGUUAGACAGGCAGCAAUAGAAGAUUCUUCUACUGGUGAAAACCAAGCUCUUGGAUCAGUGCGACCUGCAGAAGAAAGUUAUCUGGGAUGUAAUUUAUCAAAUGAAUCUUUAUUGCAAAGGAACAAGUCACUGGCACAGGGAUCAAAUUUAGAAAAAACUAAGAAGCUUCCUCAGGUGCGAGGAACAAUGUUUGAGUGUGAAACCUGCAGAAACAGGUAUAGGAAACUGGAAAACUUUGAAAACCACAAAAAAUUUUACUGUUCAGAGUUGCAUGGACCUAAAACUAAAGCUGCAAUCCGAGAGCCUGAACAUAAAACUGUUCCAAAUAGUACACAACCUCAAAUUCUUCACUACAGAGUCACUACUUCAACUGGCGUCUGGGAACAGACUCCCCAAAUAAGGAAAAGAAGGAAAAUGAAAAGUGUUGGAGAUGACGAUGACCCACAACAAAAUGACACAAGCACACCAUCAAAGAAUGCAGAAUGCCAAAAUAAGCCAGCAAUUUCUUCCAGUCAGUCAAAACUCAGUGCAACAGUAGUAGGUUUGCAACAGCCAAGCAACCUUCUACUUCGAAGUUCACAAAUUCAGCUUGUGGCUCGAGGCACAGAUCUGACAACAGAGCCAAAGACGUCUCCGCUCAUUGAAAAGCAGACAAGCUCAGAUAUGCAAGAAAAGGUGGAGUUGAAAAGACAAGGGUCUGGUAUUUCAGUAAUACAGCACACCAAUUCACUGAGCAGAAAUAGCUCAUUUGAGAAAUCGGAGUCAUUUGAAAGAGUAUCACCAGUUUCAUCUCAAGAGCCCAACAAGGUUGCAAAGGUUGCAGUUGCAAUCCAAGAGGACAGACACUCUCAUCUGAAUACUUCCCAGCAUCAUCAGUCACUGUCAUUAGAAGCACUUAGAGGGGAAGUGCAGGGAAGCCAAAUAGUUUCUAAUGAGAGGAACACACCACUUCAGACAUCAAGACUUGUUCGCCAGCAUAACAUCCAGGUUCCUGAAAUACUGGUCACAGAAGAACCAGACAGGGAGCAAGAAAACCAAUGCAGCGAUCAGGAAAAGACAGAAAGAUUUAAUUGGCCACAGCGCAGUGAAACACUGUCAAAAUUACCAACAGAAAAACUUCCACCGAAGAAGAAAAGAAUUCGCUUGGCUGAAAUGGAGCACUCAUCUGCUGAAUCGAGCAUUGACUCCACUCUUUCCAGAAGUCUAAGUCGAGAGAGUAGUUUGUCUCAUGCCUCCAGUUUCUCAGUGUCUCUCGAUAAAGAUGAGAUUUCGAAGGUGGACAAUCCUUCUAAAGCAGAACUUACUAGUAAGUCAUCAGAAUUCCUUAUGAUUCCCACUGGCUCUCAUGUGCUGGGCAUGCCUACCCCGCAUUACAGGGAAAUGAGGCGUGCUGCAUCGGAGCAGAUCAGCUGCACGCAGCCCUCGAUGGAGACUGUAGACUACAGGAGUAAGUCUUUUGACUGUGGAAGCAUAUCUUCAUCAAAACCUGCCUCACUCAUAGAGAUAGCUGCUCCAAAACUGUCGUCUGGAAACGGAGUUACUGGACACGUGCCUCUGCUAGAAAGAAGGAGAGGACCAUUUGUAAGACAAAUAUCUUUAAAUAUUGCUCCAGAAAAUCAUCCAGUUAAACUGACUUCUUCGUUUCAGACAGUUCAUGCUACAGAUGUGCCAUUUCACAGGCUGCAGACCUCCAGCAAAUCCUCAGUGGAGUUUCCUUCAAGUAUUCAGCAUUCUCAAACUCACUCCAGGCCUCACUCAACAAUUCAAAAUUCUAAUCCCAUUAACCUGUCUCCAGUUCAGCAGCCUCUAGAUCAUGUUUUGAAUAAUCAAAGACAGCAAUCUUCAAUGCAUCAGCCUUCCCAGACUUUUACUAAAACAUCAACCCAAGGGGAACAAGUGAAUUCGUACACACUUUCUUGUCACCCUGAUGAACAAAAGGAUUGUUUUGCUCCAAAGUAUCAACUCCAAGUUAAAACAUUACAUAUAUGUCAGCCAUACUCUUCUAAAUUGCUAAAAAAUAGUCUAUCAAGUCAGACUGUCCCAAGUCAAGCUGGAGUGGACCAGAAUGCGUCCUCCUUUGAGCUUCAGGCUAAACUGUCUGACAAUAUGUCUAAUCCUUACACUGUGCGUCCUCUAAAACAAAUUGUCCCUAAUAACUGCAGCAGUCAGAUGCAUCAGAUUCCUCCUUUUGUAGUUCCUGUCCGUAUUUACAGUAGCAUCCCAUCCUAUGGCUUUGCGACCGUUACACCCCUUCCUCAAAUUUUAGUGACUCAGGAUCACGUAAACCAAUCUAUUUGCAAAACAAAUGCUGUGAGAGUGCCAACGCUUGAAGGCAAAACUCAGCUGCCAAAAUCUCUCAAAGAUCAUCAAAGGACUUUGCCAAAUUCAUUUGAGUUUGAAAAUUCAGUACCAGAAAGUGGAAACAGAAAUUCACCUUUGUCAAGCUCUUUGAAUAUUAUUCAGAAAGUGCCAGUUAGUGGACUCUUCCCUCAACAAGAGGUUACACCUUCAAGUAAACGAAUGCUUUCCCCAGCCAACAGUUUAGAUAUUGCCAUGGAAAAACAGCAAAAGCGUGUUAAAGAUGAGAGUGGAGCUGCCUGCAUGACCGAUGACAGACCAUUACAUUCACUGAGCGUUCGAUCUAAUGACCUGGCUAAUAAGCAAAAGAAACCAGUUUUGGUGAGACAGGUUUGCACCACAGAGCCUCUCGAAAAUCACCUCCUAGAUCCUGAUGGUGUUGCACAGAAUGAAAAAAGCAGCAAAGCUAGUAUUUCAGACAUUCUGUUGCCUGAUUGUCAUUCAUCUGAAACUGGGGUUUCGGAAACCCUGAGGGAGUCACCAGAAUCUGAAGAUGUGAAGUCUUCAGCAACACCAGCGUUUGUAGUUAGAAAACCAUCUGAACUGUCUCCAGUGAGUAAUCAGAAUUCUCUUUUAAAGGCUGUAGGCAGCAGUCAAGAAAGAAGAUCCCCAAGUAGUAGUCAUGAGAGCAAGCAAAUCAAUAGCCAGAGUCAAGCAAAGCCUCUAACCACACUGGCUGCGGUGAAUACAAGAGAAAUGCAGAGGUUGUCAUUUCCAAGCCUCAAGACCUCAACGAGCUUUACCUGGUGUUUUCUCCUGAAGAGGAAACCGUUACAUCUGCUGCAAAACGAUCUGAAAAUUUCAGCCUAUUCUACGUGGACCAUUAGUCACAACAAUCCUAAUCCACUUGGUUUGUCAACAAAGGUAGCUCUUUCUCUCCUCAACUCAAAACAGAAAGUUGAAAAACCACUAUACACUCAAGCAAGAACUACUCAUCCCAGGUCUGAUGUACUGGUUUAUUCAAGCAAGUGGAAGAACAGCUUAACCAAGCGAGCAUUAAACAGAAAAAAAAUGACUGCAUGUGAAUUCAGCAAUAAGGAAAACUCUGAAUCAAGUACUGAGCAUGAUAAAGAAAAUUCUUUUAACAAAACUGAACCAAGAAGAGUGAAAAUAUUUGAUGGAGGGUACAAGUCAAAUGAAGACUAUGUGUAUGUUCGGGGGAGAGGAAGAGGGAAAUACAUCUGUGAGGAAUGUGGAAUACGUUGCAAGAAGCCCAGUAUGCUGAAGAAGCAUAUUCGCACACAUACAGAUGUCCGUCCUUACCAUUGCAAUUACUGCAACUUCUCCUUCAAAACUAAAGGUAGAGGAAAUUUGACAAAACACAUGAAGUCAAAGGCACAUAGCAAGAAAUGCAUGGAUUUGGGAGUCUCAGUAGGCUUAAUAGAUGACCAAGAUGGAGAAGAAGAAUUUGGUGAGAAACAAAGAUUUGGCUGUGACCGGUCAGGGUUUGAUGCAGAGGAGUCUGAUGGUGCAGAUGAAGAUGAAAAUGACAACGAAGAAGAUGAUGAAGACAGCCAAGCUGAGUCAGUCCUAUCCACAACCCCCUCAGUGACAGCCAGCCCCCAGCAUCACCCCUCUCGACACAGCCUGCAGGAUGCCACAAGUGCUGAUGAAGAUACCAGACUGCCAGACUGCUUUGCUGGGGUUCACACGGACUCAAUGGAUGGUCUACCAAAAGCACUGCUGACGAAGAUGACUGUCCUUAGCACGGUGCAGUCAAUUAGCAGGACCUCCAGGUCGCCAGCAGAGGUCACCCACCAGGAAGCACAUGAGGAUAAAGCCCAGGAGAGAGGAGCAGGUCCCCACAAUGCUAGUGCUGUGCUGGCAGAUGUUGCUCCUACAUCUCCAGGUAACCAGAUGUCUGUGGAUUACCCUGUUACAGAAGCAGCUAUGGGCCACUCCUUAAUAUCAACUGCAGUUCUUACAAAGAGCACGCCCUCCACCAGCUCCCCCUCAUCACCCACAGACCGGGGCGUGCGGACCACAGCGGCAUUGCCCUACACUGAAAUCCCAGAAGAGAAGCCGCCCAGGUGCCUGCCACAUGCUGCUGAGUUGAGGGCUCCCCAGACCCACCUCUUCAGCCACCUCCCGCUGCAUUCGCAGCAGCAAGCCAAGGCACCCUACAGCGUGGUACCGGUAGGGGGGCUUCAGGUGGUCCCUGCCGGCCUGGCCACCUACUCCACCUUCGUGCCAAUUCAGGCAGGGCCAGUGCAGCUCACCAUUCCCGCUGUUGGUGUAAUCCACCGAACUGCAAGCACCCUCGGCGAGGUGGGUUGUGCUGCUUCCAGCACCACCACGAAUCCCAUCGGGGUUGCCGAAGUGAACAGCGUCAUGCCAUGUAUUCCCAUCGGCCAGAUCAAUGUGCCAGGCAUCCAGGGUCUCAGCACGCCCAGCUUGCAGCCUCUUCCACCCCUCAGCAUGGAGACAGUGAACGUCUUAGGCCUGACAAAUACAAACAUAGCCCCCCAGAUGCGCCCUCCGGGAAUUACUCUGAAUGCUGUGGGCCUCCAGGUUUUGGCUACUAGCGCUUCCCCACAGGGCAACCCCAGCCCUCAGGCACACAUCCCGGGCUUGCAGAUACUGAACAUCGCCUUGCCUGCCCUCAUCCCUUCCGUCAGUCCGGUCAGCGCAGACAGGCAGGGAGCCUCUGAAACACCAGCCAUGGGCAGCAAAGCUGGUGACGUUCAGCAAGAGCCGGCUCCUGCCAGCUUUCCCAACAUCAGCCAGGUGGCCAGGGCUGCUUCUCCUCAGGUGGUUCCCAGUGGCCAGCGGUACAGUGGGAAGAGCCUUGCAGAGCCCGCCUCUGCGAGUGACUACGAAAGACUGAACGAGCCAGGGAAAGCAGAUGCUGAAAAGACUGACCUCGCAAACCAUGUCAAGACAAAGUGCAACAUCUCUUCGGUUCAGGUCAAAAGGGCUUCCCCAGCAGAGCCCUGCUUAAAGGUGAAUUCUGAUGUUUUGAGCAAGUCCCCGGUCCAUCAAACUGUCUCUCCAGAUAGACAGGUGUUUUGAAGACAUCAGGUCAAGAGAUGGAAGCAAUAUCUUGAAGAAUAGGAAUGACAAGACAAUGGAUAUGUCAUAAUGAGGAAAGUUAUGACGUGUGUCAUUUGUGUUUCAGAGCAAGAGCUCACACACCUAAUGCUGAUUUAAUUCUGCUGGACUAGGUAAGUGGCUCCCCUGUGGAUAUCCUGUUCUCCUGUGAAUCAUCAUUCCUCCUGGCUAUGUCCUCCACCUCAGUUCAAAGACCCAGGAUGUAUUAGGUAUGAAGACAUAAGACAGCGCAAACAGAUUAGCAAAGAUACACACAAAGAAAUGCAUCCCAGCUUCUCUCUUGUGUGCCUCUGAAAACUGGCAUGGUCAACACAAUACUAAGCCCUUGUUUUACAACAAACAAUAGAAAGGAAAAAAAAGAGACACUUUGGAAGUUGUUUAGUUUACCCAGAGUUUUCUACAAAUUACCUUUUCUAAGUAUUUGCAGUUUUGUACUUAAUUCUUCCUCACACUUGGAAAAUCUUUAGGCUAGAUCUACAUCUGAUGGACAAUGGCAUCUGCAAGCUUCAGCAGAGCAGCACUACCAGCAUCAGCAGAGGACUUGGUACUACUACCCAUUUAAGUAUUGAGCCUUGCCAACAAACACACAAAUUAAAGGAACAUGAAAGCGUGUGGUCUGUUUGUUUCGAGUUUAUACACUCUGUUGUAUUCUUGAUGGUUUUAUUCAAUUUUUUUAAGCUAUGCGAACAACUGAAAAAAAUCUGUACCAGGGAAAUGCUGAAACUUAAAGUUGUGAGGUCAAACUAGAUUAUUUUAAUAGUCUCUUCUACCUUCAUAAUCUUUGAACACAAUUUUGAGCUGAUAAGUCAGUUAAAGUCUCUAUUUCAGCAGUGUGUUUUACCUAGAAGAUUGCACAAAUAAUUAUUCUUUUACAAUUUUGAACCUCUUUUUUUUUUUUUUUUUUUUAAUUGAAUUUUGACCUCCCCUUUUAAAUGGGUGCCUUUUAAUCCUUAGGUUUAAGAAUAAGAGCAGUGCUUGAUUUAAGAUGGCAGACAAUGUUCUUGGACAGUGAGAGAGACUGUUUUUGUAGGAGCAUUUGGACUGUGUUUUUCUAAGUUUUUCAUUUGUACUGUGUUUUUCUAAGUUGUUCAUCCUGUUAGUGGAAAUAGCUGUAAUGAAGGACCAAAGUGCUGUCAUUUUUCUGUCAUUAAGUUCAUAUCAAAGGGUGAUAAAAUGUGCUGCUCUUACAUCUUCAAGUGGAUUGUGUCAGUCUUUUAUUACGGUAAUCAAUUGUAAUUAGCAAUGCACUGAAAAUGACUGAAAACAUCAUUUUCCACCACUGGAGAGAAAAAGGGGGUUAUUCAAUCUGGAAGGUGGUUUGUAGUUGCCAAUUAGGCAUGCCAGAGCAUAUGCUUGAACCUUCACUGUGGACAUAGUAUAACACACCCAAAUUCCUCCCUGUCAUUUCAUCCAGGACAGUGGUGAACAAGAUGAGGGCUGCUAGCUUUUUAAUGGAUGCUAUCCAGUUCCUUAAAGCAGUUCCAGCUCCAAAUUCACCCUAUUAGGAUGCACACUUACUGAGUUAAUUUUGCGUUUAGUGUUUGUGCAACAAUGACAAUUGACAGCCUCACACUGGAGUAAUGACAAGGCAAUAAAGCUGUCUGCAUGAUGAUGGUGCUAAACAUGGAAAAAUCAAGCUAGAGCCAACUUUGCCUGUCCCUGUUGAAUAUCUUGUGACUUUCUGGUACCAACAAAAAAGGGAGCCAGCUGGGAUGGGGAUGGACUUUGAUGAUUUGGAAGAUGAGGGAGAAUACUUUUAAAAUAAUUCAUUUUCUGGCCCAAACGAGAUAAAACCUAGUCUCAGUGUGGUCAGGAGCAGUCUCCUUCUGCCUGCAGGAUGGCUAGGAUUCCACAUGUGCAUUUUUAAGGCUGUAGCAUGGACAAUAUCUGAGAACAGAAUGUGGCUAUUUCUGGCACAAUGGAGGUUGCAGUUAAUGACAUGGGAAUGUGAUUUUUUUUUUUUCUUUUUUUUAACCUGGCAUCGCUCCUUCAAGCAAAUUAAUGUUUGAUACAUUUGCAUUUCUACAUAUCGUUAAAUCAGAUGCCUACUGCAGGACGUAAAGGUUAUGUCUGCUGGCAAAACUAAAUCCUACUAAUGCACUUUUCCUAACACACUGAGGGAAUUUGGAGUCUCUCCGUUUGAAGCUGACUUUGUAUUUUGACUAAUUGCUUCUGGUAACAGUUAAUAGCAUUCUGUGUGAAGGUAUUUCAUCUGCUGACAGCAGAUUGAUGAAGGGACACAGUUCACGUUUCCAAAGGGAACAUCAGGAAACACAUUACCAGCUUCAUUAAUCUGUUAAUAAUAAAAUUAAAGUACAAAUAAAAUGUGAAGAAUUGGGUUCUGUUGUGAAAGUCACUUUAACAGGAGGCUCUGAAUAAAGGUCAAAACAAACU